GCCGGCAGCUAGCUCUCUGCACCUCUCACAUUUAGAUACUGAAGAUAAGCAGGGCUGCGCCCGGUCAGUACCUGGAUGGGAGACCACAUGGGAAAGCUGGGUUGCUGCAGGAA
rnacentral:rRNA from 1 species